AUUGAACGCUGGCGGCAUGCCUUACACAUGCAAGUCGAACGGUAACAGGUCUUCGGAUGCUGACGAGUGGCGAACGGGUGAGUAAUACAUCGGAACGUGCCUAGUAGUGGGGGAUAACUACUCGAAAGAGUGGCUAAUACCGCAUGAGAUCUACGGAUGAAAGCAGGGGAUCGCAAGACCUUGUGCUACUAGAGCGGCCGAUGGCAGAUUAGGUAGUUGGUGGGAUAAAAGCUUACCAAGCCGACGAUCUGUAGCUGGUCUGAGAGGACGAUCAGCCACAGUGGGACUGGCACACGGCCCAGACUCCUACGGGAGGCAGCAGUGGGGAAGUUUGGACAAUGGGCGCAAGCCUGAUCCAGCAAUGCCGCGUGCAGGAUGAAGGCCUUCGGGUUGUAAACUGCUUUUGUACGGAACGAAAAGCCCCGGGUUAAUACCCUGGUGUCAUGACGGUACCGUAAGAAUAAGCACCGGCUAACUACGUGCCAGCCGCCGCCGUAA
rnacentral:rRNA from 1 species